AGCGAACGCUGGCGGCAGGCUUAACACAUGCAAGUCGAACGGGCACUUCGGUGCUAGUGGCAGACGGGAGAGUAACACGUGGGAACGUACCUUUCGGUUCGGAAUAAUUCAGGGAAACUUGGACUAAUACCGGAUACGCCCUUCGGGGGAAAGAUUUAUCGCCGAUAGAUCGGCCCGCGUCUGAUUAGCUAGUUGGUGAGGUAAUGGCUCACCAAGGCGACGAUCAGUAGCUGGUCUGAGAGGAUGAUCAGCCACAUUGGGACUGAGACACGGCCCAAACUCCUACGGGAGGCAGCAGUGGGGAAUAUUGGACAAUGGGCGCAAGCCUGAUCCAGCCAUGCCGCGUGAGUGAUGAAGGCCUUAGGGUUGUAAAGCUCUUUUGUCCGGGAAGAUAAUGACUGUACCGGAAGAAUAAGCCCCGGCUAACUUCGUGCCAGCCGCCGCGGUAACAC
rnacentral:rRNA from 1 species